rnacentral:rRNA from 1 species
GACGAACGCUGGCGGCGUGCUUAACACAUGCAAGUCGAACGAAGUGGCGAACGGGUGAGUAAUACGUGGGUAACCUGCCCUCCUUUUUGGGAUAAGCCUUGGAAACGGGGUCUAAUACCGAAUAAAGGGGGAUGGGCUCGCGGCCUAUCAGCUUGUUGGUGGGGUGAUGGCCUACCAAGGCGGUGACGGGUAGCCGGCCUGGGAGGGGGAACGGGCACAUUGGGACUGAGAGAAGGCCCAGGAGUCCAACGGGGGGAGGCGUGGGGGGUAUUUGCACAAGGGUGAAAGGCGUGUGGCGGGAAGGCGGGGUGGGGAUGAAGGGUUUCGGGGUGGAAAACCUCUGCGGGAAUGAAAGGGUAGGUGGAGAAGAAGCGCCGGCUAACUACGUGCCAGCAGCCGCGGUAAUUC